rnacentral:rRNA from 1 species
UACGUAGGGUCCGAGCGUUGUCCGGAAUUAUUGGGCGUAAAGGGCUCGUAGGCGGUCUGUUGCGUCGGGAGUGAAAACUUACAGCUUAACUGUGAGCGUGCUUCCGAUACGGGCAGACUUGAGGUAUUCAGGGGAGAACGGAAUUCCUGGUGUAGCGGUGAAAUGCGCAGAUAUCAGGAGGAACACCGGUGGCGAAGGCGGUUCUCUGGGCCUGCACUGACGCUCAUGCACGAAAGCGUGGGGAGCAAACGGG